GACGGGGCCCGCACAAGCGGUGGAGUAUGUGGUUUAAUUCGAUGCAACGCGAAGAACCUUACCUGGUCUUGACAUCCCGGAGACCCUUAGGAAACUAGGGGGUGCCUUCCAUCUGGAAGAAUCUGGAGACAGGUGCUGCAUGGCUGUCGUCAGCUCGUGUCGUGAGAUGUUGGGUUAAGUCCCGCAACGAGCGCAACCCUUGCCUUUAGUUGCCAGCAGUUCGGCUGGGCACUCUAAAGGGACUGCCGGUGUUAAACCGGAGGAAGGUGGGGAUGACGUCAAGUCCUCAUGGCCUUUAUGACCAGGGCUACACACGUACUACAAUGGCCGAUACAAAGGGCAGCGACACUGCGAGGUGAAGCCAAUCCCGUAAAAUCGGUCUCAGUCCGGAUUGGAGUCUGCAACUCGACUCCAUGAAGUUGGAAUCGCUAGUAAUCGUGGAUCAGCAUGCCACGGUGAAUACGUUCCCGGGCCUU
rnacentral:rRNA from 1 species